GAUUAGAGUUUGAUCCUGGCUCAGGACGAACGCUGGCGGCGUGCCUAAUACAUGCAAGUCGAGCGCAGGAAACCGUUCCGAACCCUCCGGGGGGACGAACGGUGGAAUGAGCGGCGGACGGGUGAGUAACACGUAAAGAACCUGCCCAUAGGUCUGGGAUAACCACGAGAAAUCGGGGCUAAUACCGGAUGUGUCAUCGGACCGCAUGGUCCGCUGAUGAAAGGCGCUCCGGCGUCGCCCAUGGAUGGCUUUGCGGUGCAUUAGCUAGUUGGUGGGGUAAUGGCCCACCAAGGCGACGAUGCAUAGCCGACCUGAGAGGGUGAUCGGCCACACUGGGACUGAGACACGGCCCAGACUCCUACGGGAGGCAGCAGUAGGGAAUCUUCCACAAUGGACGAAAGUCUGAUGGAGCAACGCCGCGUGAACGAUGAAGGCUUUCGGGUCGUAAAGUUCUGUUGUAAGGGAAGAACAAGUGCCGCAGGCAAUGGCGGCACCUUGACGGUACCUUGCGAGAAAGCCACGGCUAACUACGUGCCAGCAGCCGCGGUAAUACGUAGGUGGCAAGCGUUGUCCGGAAUUAUUGGGCGUAAAGCGCGCGCAGGCGGCCUCUUAAGUCUGAUGUGAAAGCCCCCGGCUCAAC
rnacentral:rRNA from 1 species